AGUGGCGAACGGGUGAGUAAAGUAUCGGAACGUGCCCAGUCGUGGGGGAUAACGUAGCGAAAGUUACGCUAAUACCGCAUACGAUCUAUGGAUGAAAGCGGGGGAUCGCAAGACCUCGCGCGAUUGGAGCGGCCGAUAUCAAAUUAGGUAGUUGGUGGGGUAAAGGCUCACCAAGCCGACGAUCUGUAGCUGGUCUGAGAGGACGACCAGCCACACUGGGACUGAGACACGGCCCACACUCCUACGGGAGGCAGCAGUGGGGAAUUUUGGACAAUGGGCGCAAGCCUGAUCCAGCCAUGCCGCGUGCAGGAUGAAGGCCUUCGGGUUGUAAACUGCUUUUGUACGGAACGAAAAGGUUUGGCCUAAUAAGCUGAGCUCAUGACGGUACCGUAAGAAUAAGCACCGGCUAACUACGUGCCAGCAGCCGCGGUAAUACGUAGGGUGCGAGCGUUAAUCGGAAUUACUGGGCGUAAAGCGUGCGCAGGCGGUUAUGUAAGACAGAUGUGAAAUCCCCGGGCUCAACCUGGGAACUGCAUUAGUGACUGCAUAGCUGGAGUACGGCAGAAGGGGGGAUGGAAAUUCCGCGUGUAGCAGUGAAAUGCGUAGAUAUGCGGAAGGAACCACCGGAUGGGCGAAGGCUAUCCCCUGCGCCCUGUACUGACGCUCAUGCACGAAAGCGUGGG
rnacentral:rRNA from 1 species